rnacentral:rRNA from 1 species
GUUUUGAUUAUGGCUCAGAUUGAACGCUGGCAGGAUGCUUUAUGCAAGUCCGAACGGCAGCACGGACUUCGGUCUGGUGGCGAGUGGCGAACAAUUGAGUAAUGUAUCGAACCGUGCCUAGUGGCGAGGAUAACUACGCGAAAGCGUAUGUACCGCAUACGCCCUUCGAGCAGGGGACCUUCGGGCCUCGCACUAUUAGAGCAGCCGAUAUCGGAUUAGCUAGUUGGUGGUAGCGGCUCGCAAGGCGACGAUCGUAGCUGGUUUGAGACGACCAGCCACACUGGGACUGAGACACGGCCGAACUCCUACAGGAGGCAGCAGUGGGGAAUUUUGGACAAUGGGGGAAACCUGAAGUCCAGCCAUCCCGCGUGUGCGAUGAAGGCCUUCGGGUUGUAAGCACUUUGGCAGGAAAAACAGCGCGGAUAAUACGUGCAGCCAGCAGUACCUGCAGAAUAAGCACCGGCUAACUACGACAGCAGCCGCGGUAAUACGUAGGGUGCAAGCGUUAAUCGGAAUUACUGGGCGUAAAGCGUGCGCGGGCGGUUCGGAAAGAGAUGUGAAAUCUGAGCUUAACUUUGGAACUGCAUUUUUAUUACCGAGCUAGAGUGUGUCAGAGGGAGGUGGAAUUCCGCGUGUAGCAGUGAAAUGCGUAGAUAUGCGGAGGAACACCGAUGGCGAAGGCGGCCUCACUGGGAUAACGACGCUCAUGCGAAAGCGUGGGAGCAAACGGGAUUAGAUACCCUGGUAGUCCACGCCUAAACGAUGUCCAACUAGCUGUUGUUGGGAGCCUUCGGAGCCUUGGUAGCGCAGCUAACGCGUGAAGUUGACCGCCUGGGGUACGGUCGCAAGAUUAAAACUCGAAAUUGACGGACCACUGACCAGGUGGAUGAUGUGGAUUAAUUCGAUGCAACGCGAAAAAACCUUUACCCUUGAGGAAACGUGUCUGGAAUCCGAAAGAGAUUUGGGAGUGCUCGCAAGAAGAGCCAGGUUACAGGUGCUGCAUGGCUGUCGUCAGCUCGUGUCGUGAGAUGUUGGGUUAAGUCCCGCAACGAAACAACUAUUAUCAUUAGUUACCGAAGGGCACUCUAAUGAGACUGGCGGUGACAAACCAAGGAAGGUGAGGGAUAGUCAUGGCCCAUAUGGGUAGGGCUUCACACGUCAUACAAUGGUCGGGACAGAGGUCACCCAACCGCGAAGACAAUCCCAGAAACCCGAUCGUAGUCCGGAUCUAGUCUGCAGCUCGACUUCGUUGAAGUCAGAUCGCUAGUAAUCGCGGAUCAACGCCAAUACGGUGAAUACGUUCCCGGGUCUUAUUUAUAAUCACACCAUGGGUAAGUUUUCUCCAUCAGUCACUCCCUCAUACGGGGGCGGUCUUUGAUGGAUCCCAAAUGGUGCGAAAGUCAUGUCAGGUGGCCUGUUUACUAGCAAUGCUGUAA